rnacentral:rRNA from 1 species
AGUUCAUGCCCUGCUAUAGGGUAGAUCUCCCACCCUUGUGUAUUAUAACCAAACGUUGCCUCCGGGGCUCCGGCCCCGGAUGGACCCCUAAACUCUGUGUGUUAGUGUCGUCUGAGUACUAUACAAUCGUUAAAACUUUCAACAACGGAUCUCUUGGUUCUGGCAUCGAUGAAGAACGCAGCGAAAUGCGAUAAGUAAUGUGAAUUGCAGAAUUCAGUGAAUCAUCGAAUCUUUGAACGCACAUUGCGCCCCUUGGUAUUCCGAGGGGCAUGCCUGUUCGAGCGUCAUUAUACCCCAUCUAGCCCUGCUAGGGACUGGGCUUCGCGGUUCCGCGGGCCUUAAAAUCAGUGGCGGUGCUCUCAAGCUCUACGCGUAGUAAUUCUUCUCGCUCUAGGGUCUUGGGGGACACCUGCCAGAACCUUACUUCUAGGUUGACCUCGGAUCAGGUAGGGAUACCCGCUGAACUUAAGCAUAUCAAUAAGCGGAGGAAAAGAAACCAACAGGGAUUACCUCAGUAACGGCGAGUGAAGCGGUAACAGCUCAAAUUUGAAAUCUGGCUCUCUCAGGGUCCGAGUUGUAAUUUGUAGAAGAUGCUUUGGAGUCGCUCCGGCCUAAGUUCCUUGGAACAGGACGCCAGAGAGGGUGAGAGUCCCGUCUGGUCGGCAGCCUAUCCGUGUAAAGCUCUUUCGACGAGUCGAGUUGUUUGGGAAUGCAGCUCAAAAUGGGUGGUAAAUUUCAUCUAAAGCUAAAUACUGGCCAGAGACCGAUAGCGCACAAGUAGAGUGAUCGAAAGAUGAAAAGCACUUUGGAAAGAGAGUUAAACAGUACGUGAAAUUGUUGAAAGGGAAGCGUUGGCAACCAGACUUGCAGCUGCUACUCAUCCGGGGUUCUCCCCGGUGCACUUGGUAGCUUCAGGCCAGCAUCGGUUUGGAGAGCGGGAUAAAGGCCUUGGGAACGUAGCUCCUCUCGGGGAGUGUUAUAGCCCUCGGUGCAAUGCCGCUCCUCCAGACCGAGGACCGC